UACGUAGGAUGCGAGCGUUGUCCGGAAUUAUUGGGCGUAAAGAGAACGUAGGCGGUUUGGUAAGUCUGAUGUGAAAUCUAUGGGCUCAACUCAUAGUCUGCAUCGGAAACUGCCGGGCUUGAGUAUGGGAGAGGUGAGUGGAAUUCCUGGUGUAGCGGUGAAAUGCGUAGAUAUCAGGAGGAACACCUGUGGCGAAAGCGGCUCACUGGACCAUAACUGACGCUGAUGCACGAAAGCUAGGGGAGCAAACAGG
rnacentral:rRNA from 1 species